UGAGCCAUUGUGCGCGGAUGGGCCCCUGGGGCACAGUUUGGGCACACUUACUUUUGUGAAUCUUCGUCGGGGUCGAGCUUGUGGCAUCAGUUCUCUGAGCGAACUGGUUGAGGGGGUUGAGGGAAGAGGUGCUGAGUCCUAACGAGCAGCGUUAUACAGUAUUUGGGUCUUAACUUUGUGGUAACAAAGGCAGGCCCUAAAAUGUACUUCCUGGUGUGGGCGUGGCUUAGACAUCUGCUAUUCUUCAAACAAAUGGCCUUUGUAAAGCAGCCUCUGUAAGUAAAUUCCAAAUUUUCAACGAGGCCUUCACUUGUGAUUAAUAACUUUGUCUUUCAUAUUGAUUGAUUUAAUUGUACAAAGAUUGUAAAGUUUGGACAAUAACAGACCAAGUAAACAAGAUUACUUCUAAAACUUAUUUUAAGCUGUGUUUUGCCCCUGUUAGCCCAAACAAUGACUCUGGUUAACGUGAUGAAAUCCUGCUGCAUGUUCCACAUUGGUAACUAUACACAAGUGUCCCAAGCGUUUACGUGCGCGAGCAUCAGCACCAUCGAUUGGCGUGUCAUGUAAUCCUCCAUCGUGACAACAGUCAGCGAGAUUAGGGGCUAGAGCUGUGGCGUCAGCCCUCUUCGGCGGGUAAUGGGCAAAAAAGCAUGUUAAUUGCCCUUGACUGUUGAAAGUAAAUUAAUUAUUGAUCGCUCUCCCGACUCCUCUUCUGUACUUACAUAGCCUUACAAAUCCUUUUUAUCUCCGGCUCGCAGUAAGAACAUUUCCUCGUUUCCCCAUCAUUAUGCAGGCGGGCAAACGCGCGCGAGGACCAUAAGCCAAACAGCAGCUUCCUGUUCUGCGCCGAAAAGGUCUUCAUCUUUACAUUCCCUCUGUUAAAAUGUUGCAUCAUGUUCUUGCAGAACUCUCAUUUUGCCAUGCAUGCAACAACACACAUGUCCUGGCGCCCCCGCACCGCUAGCUGACAAACAAACAAGAGAGCACAUGAAUAAAAAGCGGGGUUUGCAGGUCUGACGGCUGUGUUGGGGAAUUAAUGACACCGGGUGUAAAAAGUGGUGGAGGCGGCACAGACACCAGCAUCAUUAUUUUGCCUAUUGAUUUCUCAUCCUCCUGCAGCAUGCAGAGGAGGAAAAAACAACAAACAUGUGAAAUGAGAUUUAAAGAUCAACAUCAUAGGACAAAAAUUGGCUGGGACUAGAAACUGAUGUGGAUUAACCUUUCAUGUCAUGCUGCAUUCACUGUCGCCGUGUGCACCUUAAACUGCAUCCCCAGUCAAAGACGACAAAAUUAUGAUGACUUCAGUCUGGAUAUAGUACAACUAUUCAACAUGGAAUGGUGUGGUCAUUAUUUACCAAAAGCACAAAGAUGGCAGCUGUUAUUUGGAAGCAGGUGAUAAUUGGAGAGUAGUGCACGUUUACGUACAUUUUUUGGUUAGCAAAAAAUAUGUUGCAUUUCUUGUUGGGUUCAACUGUGUUCUUAAUGUAUUUUUAACACAAAAUAUUGCUUGUAUGCAGGCGAUUGACUUCCUACUACAUGGAAACAGGGACUCUGUAGUUAUCGGGAGUACUGACAAAGUUACUCCACAAUCCAUCCAUCCAUUUUCUAUGCCGCUAAUCCUAAGUCUCAAAAAUGUUAACACAAAACGUGUUUUUAGAGUUUUACAAAUAUAAUUUUACAUGCAGAAAAUGAUCUGAAAUAAACAUCAAUCGGUAGGCGCCAAUUUCCUUGAUUUUGGGCAAUCAGCUGAUCCUAACAUGAAUCAUAACAUUAUCCACCGAUCUUAUCUCGACAGCGAGCAACCAAGCUAAAGUUAUUUGAUGGUUGCAUCUUUCAUGCAUUUUUCUUUGGCUCCAUUUUUGGGUUAUUUUGCAGCCGUGAUCAAAAGAAAAGCACAGACUUGAGGAUGAACGAUGCCAAAGUUUCAGAUAAUGAGGUUUGUGUAUUUGAAAGUGAGCCCUGAAAUAAGUUUGGGAUGACUCUAAACACUCGGUUUCAGAGUGCAUUGUAAAGCUGGAGGUUUAUGAUGUCACACAUAGAUGCUUCCUUGUAUGGGCAUGUACUUAAGGCGGGAUUCUGCUUCCAUGAGCUCUGCUCCUGUGUUUACGUUGUUAGCAACCGCUCCCAGGAAGUGUUUCUUUGGAUGUAAUGGAAAGCUAGAGCAGCUGGACUAGCCCAAGUAGCAAUUUAUCAGUGUCCUCACUGUGUUUAUUUUGUGUAAGUAAUGGAACAACAGCGGUUGUCUGUGUAGCAUUAUAGAGUGUGUAAACAGGCGCUGACGCUGACGCUAAUAUCCAUUUGCCACCACAAUCAGUGGGUCUACCCGAGUUUUUUAAACAAAGGUACUCCCACAAAAAAAUGUGUAAUGACUCCAUUCCACUUUACCAAUGCUGUAGAAAACGUUAAAAAUGCUAACGCUACUUAGCAUUGAGAGACGUCUUGAGAAACAUGGGACUGUCCAGUCUCUACUUCUGGAUCAAAUACAUGAUCCAAUACAUUAUUUAUUGUUAAAAGCGGGAAGCACAAAAUCCAGACAAAUACUGCUGGAAUAGGUGCAGAUUCUGGAAGCUCUACAAGGCUUUUUAUCAUGUGUAGCUGCUCCAUUGGUGUCCACAACUCAAUACAAAUACAAAUGAGCAUAAUAUGUCUCCUUUAAAUCCACUCCCUGUUGAAGUUUUAUACAUACAAGGGUAUGUGUGGGUGUGUAGUACGGGAACAUACUUUAAAUAUAUGAUUGGAGUAAUGUCUGUGUUAUUGUGCGGCAUCAUGUGACGUGCAUGCCGCUUUUCCAUGGAAGUCUUUGCGGAUGAGGAGCUUCUCUCUGUCAUUUGUUCAUCACUUUGCCAUUACACUAUGCAUAAAUGAUGCAGCAGCCACUGUGUUUGUUGCAAAUGUCAUUCAUUUUUCAUGGUGGCUUUAUCUUGAAAAGCCAUCUCCUGUUCCGGACCACCUCGCUGAGUCGCGGUUGGAUUUCUUCGUCCGGUAGAUGAAGUACCACCGCUGGCGUAUAAAUAUAUUUUUUUGUUCCGUCUGUCUUUCUUUCCUGACUUCCAGCAAAUGCAGCAAUUCAUAAAUUGUGAAUGUGCCACUGGUGGUGUGCUUGUUUUCUCAGAUGACAUUUCCAUACAUGGACGCUGGUUGAAAAUGUCGUUCUCACUCAGCACCGUUGCACCGUGACCCUCCGUACACCAUAUGAUAAUGUAAGUGCCUUCAAAUAGCACCCAAAACAGAUUUAUUUAUACAUUCCUGCUGUUUUGCAUAUCCUCUGCCCCGAGCCCACACGCUUUAUUUCAGUCCAAAUGCUGUUGAGUCAGCCUCUUCCUGUAUGGCUGUCCCAGAUAAGUAGCUUGAAGCUCAAUGACCAAAAUAUCAUAUGCUUAAAUAAAGCGCUAUAUAUAUCAAGCUUAGACACAGACCUCCAUCCAAUAUAUAUAUCUUUAUUAUGUUUAAUUAUGAACAAUACAGACUGUGAACAACAAGCCUCACUGAACCCCGCCGAGCCCUUCCUUACAAUACCACACCAUUUUGGAUAUUUUUACAGCCAGACGCAAGGAAACAUUUGCUCCUGAAUUUUUAAUAUCAACAUGGUUUCUUCUGUGGAAGGAUGACAUGUUGACAUUUAUGGAUGGAGACAGCAUUACAUUCCUCAACGGAUUCUUCCAUCGGCUACCUAGUUAGGAACAGAAUGACUCAAAACAUCUCCAACCUCUCCAAGGCCAAAUUAUAAAGUGAAUAGAACAACAACAAAAGGAAGUUAACAGGCUACUUCCUGGUCCAGUUGGACAGUUCCAUUAUGAUAUGGAGGGUGGACAGCUCCACUCAUCCAGUUUACUUGAUAGCACCUUUUGUCAGAGUACUCAACAUAUUUAAUGGUGUCAGUCCUUUCCAAAGAAUAUGUCCAAAACCGAAUCUUAUGUACUUUUGAACAACAAUGGCUUAUACUUGGGAGUUGAGGCUAGCUAACAAACAGCUGUGAUCUCAGUUAUGUUUUUUCAUCCCCCUUUAUUAUAAAAGGUUUCAUUUUAAAACUGCAAUUUGUGUUCAUGUGAUACCCCACUGAAGUGUGUUCACAAUUUUAUUGAUAAGUGUAUUCGUUGACAAUAGUUCAGAAAUGUCACCACCUUGUUUUCACCAUGUUUGUAUAACACAGGCUUACUUUGUAUAUAAGGGGUGUUGUAAUGGGCAAUCGCCAGCAGGGGGAAGUGUGACAACUCGCCUGGCUUUCUGACACUUUACGUCAGUUCGUCUGCUUGACGAACUUCCUCUUGGAGGACCCACGUGAGGUUGGCUGUGUCUCAUUCAUAUCUGGUUUUCAGACCUCUUUAGGUGCAAAUCAGCGUAAACACAAGGCCGCCUCCCUCACAACCCGCCAGAAUGCAUGUGGAAAUUGCACCGAUGGACUGAACAUUUGGAAGUUGUUCCUGCAGUCAAUCCACAAUGAGAGCAAUGGAAGUCUGGACAGAAGGAACCAUGGCGAUCACAGCCACGUCCAAGUGGAGCCCCGAUGAGCAGAUGAGGGCUCUGAGUGACAGCGAGGACGGGGAGAGGAAAUGGACAGAUGAAGAGACAAACAGGCAGAUGGAGGUCAGUGAUUAUUCCCCGACCCGCAGAUGGUUUGCACUCUUGUGACAGCCAGGCCGCGUGCGAGAUGUGCUGACAACGAGGCGUUGAGUGAGGACGCAGCGCUUUCUCUCCUCCUCAUUUACUCGUUUUUAAACGCUGCUUCGACUGCCUUUGCUUUUGCUCAGAAGAACUCCCGACGGAUGGGUGGGGUACACACUGGUUGAGGACUAUUUUCACUUAUAUUUCAACUUCCCCCUUGAGAGGAAGGGGAAAGAAAGAAAGUGAAAGAGUGCAGCGAUAUGAAGGCUCAGCUCCCGCUUUCAAGAAGAAAAAAAAAAAAAUCCCUGUUGCCUUUGGCUGCAGUUCUACUCGGUGCACCAAUACUCCAUGUCGCCUUUAACAGUAGGGGGGGAUUAGCACCUGAUGGUUCAGCAAGAAGUAUCUAUAACACCCCCUAACCUUAUGACUUCCCAAUUCGGGAGAGACUUUCCGUGACCCCAGUGAGUGUUGUGCACUGAACAAUGCUAAAGCUGCAAGUAAGAGGAGAAGCCAGAGGCCGCUGAGGUUACUACUUGAACUAAGAUGAAGGCAAACAACAUAAAACCUCCUCAGCACACUCAACAUCCCCUUCAAGCACGAAUCGCUUCAAAGUGUCCACCUGAAGCACCGCUAGCUUGAUAGGUCAGACCUUCACACCUUCCAGUGUCGACUGAGGGCACCGACCUUUGUGGCCUUUUGUUUGUGUGUGCAUGGUGGAUAGUAAAUGCCCAUAAAGUACACCAGUGGAUCCUGGUAUUGGAUAGACCAGUGGGUCACCAUCACCCUUAAAUGGCAAACACACACAGGAUAGAACAUUGCUUAAUGUCCAUCCUGUAAACAUGUUCGUUUAAAUUUUGCCUCCGUUUGCGUGCAUUCUCGUAUAAUACAGCGCACAUCCUGGCAACCAGAAGUUAUGUUGCCCGUUAUGUCAUCAGCGAUUUCGACACAUUUCUAUAGUUGCCCAUGCAUAAUACAAAUCUAAAUACAUAUAAAUGAUGAAUGAAAGGCAUCAAUGGACAUUUAAGGUUACUUUAACCCAGGGGUCUCAAACUCAAUUUACCUGGGGGCCACUGGAGCUAGGAUCUGGGCAAGGCU